UAGGGAAUCUUCCGCAAUGGGCGAAAGCCUGACGGAGCAACGCCGCGUGAGUGAUGAAGGUCUUCGGAUCGUAAAACUCUGUUAUUAGGGAAGAACAAAUGUGUAAGUAACUAUGCACGUCUUGACGGUACCUAAUCAGAAAGCCACGGCUAACUACGUGCCAGCAGCCGCGGUAAUACGUAGGUGGCAAGCGUUAUCCGGAAUUAUUGGGCGUAAAGCGCGCGUAGGCGGUUUUUUAAGUCUGAUGUGAAAGCCCACGGCUCAACCGUGGAGGGUCAUUGGAAACUGGAAAACUUGAGUGCAGAAGAGGAAAGUGGAAUUCCAUGUGUAGCGGUGAAAUGCGCAGACAUAUGGAGGAACACCAGUGGCGAAGGCGACUUUCUGGUCUGUAACUGACGCUGAUGUGCGAAAGCGUGGGGAUCAAACAGG
rnacentral:rRNA from 1 species